rnacentral:rRNA from 1 species
AUUGAACGCUGGCGGCAGGCCUAACACAUGCAAGUCGAGCGGAUGAAGGGAGCUUGCUCCUGGAUUCAGCGGCGGACGGGUGAGUAAUGCCUAGGAAUCUGCCUGGUAGUGGGGGAUAACGUCUGGAAACGGGCGCUAAUACCGCAUACGUCCUGAGGGAGAAAGUGGGGGAUCUUCGGACCUCACGCUAUCAGAUGAGCCUAGGUCGGAUUAGCUAGUUGGUGGGGUAAAGGCCUACCAAGGCGACGAUCCGUAACUGGUCUGAGAGGAUGAUCAGUCACACUGGAACUGAGACACGGUCCAGACUCCUACGGGAGGCAGCAGUGGGGAAUAUUGGACAAUGGGCGAAAGCCUGAUCCAGCCAUGCCGCGUGUGUGAAGAAGAUCUUCGGAUUGUAAAGCACUUUAAGUUGGGAGGAAGGGCAGUAAGUUAAUACCUUGCUGUUUUGACGUUACCAACAGAAUAAGCACCGGCUAACUUCGUG